AUGCAUACAGUACGAAAAAGAGACGCCGCUCCGUCAAUGAAAGCUUCCCCCACCUUCCACUUGACCAUGGCCACUCCUCGUCUCCCCUGCCUCUUCGUUCUCCUCCUCCUCUCCACCGUCUCGGCGGAGUACGCGCAGGAGCUACUUCGGCGCGCCGAGGGCGAGCGAGAGUGGAUUAUCGGCGUGCGCCGGCACAUCCACGCCCACCCGGAGCUCGCUUUCCAGGAGCACCGCACCAGCGCCCUCGUCCGCGAGGAGCUCGAGCGGCUAGGGGUUACCGCCCAAACCGUUGCCGGCACCGGCGUCGUCGCCGAUGUCGGCUUGGGCAUGCCCCCAAUCGUCGCCCUCCGCGCCGACAUGGACGCACUACCCAUCCAGGAAUUGGUGGAGUGGGAGCAUAAGAGCAGAGUUGAUGGUGUAAUGCACGCCUGUGGUCAUGAUGUGCACACAGCGAUGCUACUGGGAGCGGCAAAGUUGCUUCAUGAGCGCAAGGAUCAGCUUAAGGGAACGGUGAGACUCCUUUUUCAACCUGCUGAGGAGGGUGGUGCUGGUGCAUCUCAUAUGAUAAAAGAAGGUGUUCUUGAUGGUGUUGAAGCUAUAUUUGCAAUGCAUAUCGAUUAUCGGAUGCCAACAGGGGUAAUAGCUGCUCACGCAGGACCAACACAAGCAGCUGUAUGUUUCUAUGUAGUGAAAAUAGAAGGUAAAACCGGGAAGGCUGAAACCCCACACUUAAAUGUGGAUCCUAUCGUUGCUGCAGCAUUUACCGUCCUGUCCCUGCAACAGCUCACUUCAAGAGAAGAUGAUCCUCUUCACAGCCAAGUGCUCUCUGUCACCUAUAUUAAAGGUGGGAACUCUGUUGAUGCCACACCUCCAGUUGUUGAAUUUGGAGGUACUUUGAGGAGCCUCACUACUGAAGGACUUUAUCGGCUACAGAAAAGGCUUAAGGAGGUAGUAGAAGGGCAGGCAGCUGUACAUAGGUGCACGGGAGUUACGGAGAUAUUGGGGGCUCCCUCCCACCCAAUGUAUCCUGCCGUCGUCAAUGAUGAGAGACUCCACGAGCAUGUAGAGAAUGUGGGCAGAAGUUUGCUUGGUCCAGACAAGGUGAAGCCCGGAGAGAAGAUCAUGGCAGGGGAAGACUUUGCAUUCUACCAACAGUUAGUUCCUGGCGUUAUGUUUGGUAUCGGCAUUAGAAAUGAGAAAGUCGGUUCGGUCCACUCUGCUCACAACCCGCAUUUCUUCGUCGACGAGGAUGUCCUUCCAAUUGGAGCUGCAUUGCAUACUGCCACCGCAGAAAUGUAUCUUUCUGGGCGUUCUGCUUAA
rnacentral:rRNA from 1 species